rnacentral:rRNA from 1 species
AUUGAACGCUGGCGGCAUGCCUUACACAUGCAAGUCGAACGGUAACGGGCCUUCGGGUGCCGACGAGUGGCGCACGGGUGAGUAAUACAUCGGAACGUGCCCGAUCGUGGGGGAUAACGAGGCGAAAGCUUUGCUAAUACCGCAUACGAUCUACGGAUGAAAGCAGGGGACCGCAAGGCCUUGCGCGGACGGAGCGGCCGAUGGCAGAUUAGGUAGUUGGUGGGAUAAAAGCUUACCAAGCCGACGAUCUGUAGCUGGUCUGAGAGGAUGAUCAGCCACACUGGGACUGAGACACGGCCCAGACUCCUACGGGAGGCAGCAGUGGGGAAUUUUGGACAAUGGGCGCAAGCCUGAUCCAGCCAUGUCGCGUGCAGGAUGAAGGCCUUCGGGUUGUAAACUGCUUUUGUACGGAACGAAAAGCCUUCUUUUAAUACAGGAGGGUCAUGACGGUACCGUAAGAAUAAGCACCGGCUAACUACGUG